rnacentral:rRNA from 1 species
UGGGGAAUAUUGGACAAUGGGCGAAAGCCUGAUCCAGCCAUGCCGCGUGUGUGAAGAAGGUCUUCGGAUUGUAAAGCACUUUAAGUUGGGAGGAAGGGCAUUAACCUAAUACGUUAGUGUUUUGACGUUACCGACAGAAUAAGCACCGGCUAACUCUGUGCCAGCAGCCGCGGUAAUACAGAGGGUGCAAGGGUUAAUCGGAAUUACUGGGCGUAAAGCGCGCGUAGGUGGUUUGUUAAGUUGGAUGUGAAAUCCCCGGGCUCAACCUGGGAACUGCAUUCAAAACUGACUGACUAGAGUAUGGUAGAGGGUGGUGGAAUUUCCUGUGUAGCGGUGAAAUGCGUAGAUAUAGGAAGGAACACCAGUGGCGAAGGCGACCACCUGGACUAAUACUGACACUGAGGUGCGAAAGCGUGGGGAGCAAACA